GCCCUGGUGGCGGAAUUGGUAGACGCGCAAGUUUCAGGUACUUGUGUCCUCCGGGACGUGGAAGUUCGAGUCUUCUCCAGGGCA
rnacentral:tRNA from 1 species